CCUGCCCCCAGACUAUUCAGCCAUGCUGAUCCCCUCAGUAUUCUGAGUGCAGAGAGAAAGAAGUGGGCCUUUGGGCAGGAAGCUGCAUGGCUAGAGAAGCAGACACUCAACUACUCUCUCACUUUCCCCCGUGGAUAAAUUCAUAAAUUGAGAGGAUCUGUAUUGGCAAUGAACUGUGCUACCUUCGGGAGGAGUGAUGUGGGCAGGGUAAAACUGUUCUUAUGCUCUUCAGUGUGCCUACUCACAAAUUUGUUUCUUCCAAUAGAAUGCCAGGACAUCUCUGCUUAACUCCUGGGCUCUUCUCCACGGAUGGUUGUCAAAAUCAGUGUUUCUGUCAGGAUACAAAGGUUGAAAAUUCUGAUUCUGCCAUCUUUCUGACAUCCUCAAGGCCUUAUAUGCUGAAUCAUAUGUCAUUUUCACAAAGACCUUACGGGGCAAAUAUUAAUAUCCACAUCCUAUGGAUGAAUAUAGUGAGGCUGAAAGCAACGCAUAUUAAAUACACAAGUGAAGCAGUCUGUAGAUAUACAGUCAAGUUUUAAUGGAAGAAUCAGGGGAAGAGGCACAAAUUGGGCAGUCUCCAGCAUAUCCAAGAAACACAGCAUAGAAGGAGAAAGGAAGAGACCAAGAUCUAAGCCAUUAUGUAUUCCAACAUCUAAUAGGCCAACCAAGAAGGAACCAGCUCAAAGGUGAAGAAGGAAUGACCAAUGAGCUCUAUUGCCUUCACAUUACAAAUGGAGAAACGGAGAUUCUAUGAGGAUCAAUAAGGACUCAGCUCAUCUGGCUUAUAACAGACCCAGCAAGGAUGAAAACCCCAGGGCUUUUGAUUCCAGAGCGUGGGCUCUUUCUAUCACACCAGUGGUUCCCAGACACAUAUGCCACAGGCCAAUCAAUUAAAAGCAAACAAAAAAUUGGCAAACAGAAGUAGAGCUAACAACUUUGGAUUUUGCCAGGAAUAUAAAAAAGUAAAAGCUUCAGUCUUCUACCACCACCAUUUCAUAAUAAAAUGAACACUUCAACCCAGAAAACUUUGCAAAUAUCAAAU